rnacentral:rRNA from 1 species
UUGAGCGGAGAUAUAUGGAGCUUGCUUUAUAUAACUUAGCAGCGAACGGGUGAGUAACACGUAGAUAAUCUAUCCUAUACUGGGGGAUAGCCCGAUGAAAGUUGGAUUAAUACCGCAUAUAGCUAUAUAGUUGCAUGAUUAUGUAGUGAAAGAUUUAUUGGUAUAGGAGGAGUCUGCGGCACAUUAGCUAGUAGGUGAGGUAAAGGCUUACCUAGGCGACGAUGUGUAGCCGGUCUGAGAGGAUGAACGGCCACAAUGGAACUGAGACACGGUCCAUACUCCUACGGGAGGCAGCAGUGGGGAAUAUUGCACAAUGGGGGAAACCCUGAUGCAGCAACGCCGCGUGAGUGAAGAAGGUUUUCGGAUUGUAAAGCUCUGUUAGCAGGGAAGAGGAAGGACGGUACCUGCAGAGGAAGCCACGGCUAACUACGUGCCAGCAGCCGCGGUAAUACGUAGGUGGCAAGCGUUGUUCGGAAUAACUGGGCGUAAAGGAUGCGUAGGCGGUUAAACAAGUUAUAUGUUAAAUAUAUAGGCUUAACCUGUAGAAAGCAUAUAAAACUGUUUAACUAGAGUGCAGGAGAGGUAAGUGGAAUUCCUAGUGUAGCGGUGAAAUGCGUAGAGAUUAGGAAGAACACCAGUGGCGAAGGCGACUUACUGGACUGUAACUGACGCUGAGGCAUGAGAGCAUGGGGAGCAAACAGGAUUAGAUACCCUGGUAGUCCAUGCUGUAAACGAUGGGUACUA